rnacentral:rRNA from 1 species
AUGCUUACCAAAGGGAGGAGAGUUGCCGGGAGGGGUGAAGACAUGUCUGCACAUUAUGCAUUUGGGCCACAUGAGGAUGAUGCGAUUAUCAAACAUCGGCUUCUGACUAGGACCACAACUACCAGGGGUGAACCACCCCUAAAGAAGCUCCAAAAGAAGUUCAUGUCCUUCGCCACCGAGGUAGAGAAGGAUGCAGACAAUACAAGUGAUUGUGAGAGGCUGUACAAGGCCUUUCUGCAGGAAAUAAACACUUUUGAGCUGCCUCUUCUAAAAAGCAAGGCUGUAGUUGAUGCAAAUCUCAGGGAAAAGGAGAGCUUCAACGAGCUGCAGGUUGAGAUCCAGCGACAAAUCUUGCAAGCUCAGACUGAUAUUGAGGAUCUUAAAAAGCAACUUGAGCAAAGCAAGAUUGAGAGGCAGCACAAAGAGGAGUGUGAAGCAAUCAGAAAACUGAUUUCCUCGCAGCCUCCACGGUCAGAAACCGAGAAACUUAUCGCUAAUCUUGAGAAGGAGAUAGCUAAUUUGGAGGCCGAGAGUGCAGCAUGUACAAGGACGUUAGAGCUUAGGAAGAAGCAGUUUGCUCUUCUUCUUCAUGUGGUGGAGGAAUUGCAAAUCUCGAUCGAAGAUGAGCAAAGGAACAUAGCAGAUGAGCUGAGAGCAGCCACUGAAGAGCCAAAGUUGAGCAUAGAGGAAGGCAGCGGCGGUGCUUCGGAUGCGAUGGCUGUAGACUGA